rnacentral:rRNA from 1 species
UUUCCGUAGGUGAACCUGCGGAAGGAUCAUUGUCGAAUCCUGCAAUAGCAGAAUGACCUGUUAACAAGUAAAAACAUCGGGCAAGCUUUGGGAGGCCUAUGGUCCCCUAUUUGCGAACCCAAGGUAGGUGUACCCCUCACGGGUGUCCACCGGCCAACGAAAUCAACCGGGCGCUGACUGCGCCAAGGAAAUUAAUACUGAAUUGUUCGUCGCUUCUCGUUCGCGGGCAGCGGCGUCAGUCUGAAACACAAACGACUCUCGGCAACGGAUAUCCCGGCUCUCGCAUCGAUGAAGAACGUAGCGAAAUGCGAUACUUGGUGUGAAUUGCAGAAUCCCGUGAACCAUCGAGUCUUUGAACGCAAGUUGCGCCCGAAGCCAUUAGGCUGAGGGCACGUCUGCCUGGGUGUCACGCAUCGUGUUGCCCCCGACCAAACAUCUCUUUAGGAGAUGUUCCGGUUUGGGGGCGGAUACUGGCCUCCCGUGCCUUGUUGUGCGGCUGGCGCAAAAAUGAGUCUCUAGCGAUGGACGUCGCGACAUCGGUGGUUGUAAGAAGACCUUCUUGUCUUGUCGUGUAUGCCCGUCACCUUAGUAAAGCUCAAGGACCCUUAGGCGCCAUAAAAUAUGGGCGCUUCGAUUGUGACCCCAGGUCAGGCGGGACUACCCGCUGAGUUUAA